AAAUGAAUAGACGGGGGCCCGCACAAGCAGUGGAGCAUGUGGUUUAAUUCGACGCAACGCGCAGAACCUUACCAGGGCUUGACAUCCCCUGAAAGCCGUAGAGAUACGGAAUUCUGGUGCUUGCACCAGCAGGGAGACAGGUGCUGCAUGGUUGUCGUCAGCUCGUGUCGUGAGAUGUUGGGUUAAGUCCCGCAACGAGCGCAACCCCUAUUCUGUGUUGCCAGCGUAGAGUCGGGCACUCACAGGAGACUGCCGGAGACAAUUCGGAGGAAGGUGGGGAUGACGUCAAAUCAUCAUGGCCCUUAUGUCCUGGGCUACACACGUGCUACAAUGGUCGGCACAACGGGCAGCUAAGGAGCGAUCCGGAGCGAAUCCCUCAAAGCCGGCCCCAGUUCGGAUUGCAGGCUGCAACUCGCCUGCAUGAAGCCGGAAUUGCUAGUAAUCGCGGAUCAGCUAUGCCGCGGUGAAUACGUUCCCGGGCCUUGUACACACCGCCCGU
rnacentral:rRNA from 1 species